GACGAACGCUGGCGGCGUGCUUAACACAUGCAAGUCGAACGGUGAAGCGCCUUCCUUUUUGGUGGGUGUGGAUGAGUGGCGAACGGGUGAGUAACACGUGAGUAACCUGCCCCCUUCUUCUGGAUAACCGCAUGAAAGUGUGGCUAAUACGGGAUAUUCUGGGUCUGUCGCAUGAUGGGUCUGGGAAAGAUAUUGUUUCGGUGGGGGAUGGGCUCGCGGCCUAUCAGCUUGUUGGUGUGGUGAUGGCCUACCAAGGCGGUGACGGGUAGCCGGCCUGAGAGGGUGGACGGUCACACUGGGACUGAGACACGGCCCAGACUCCUACGGGAGGCAGCAGUGGGGAAUAUUGCACAAUGGGCGCAAGCCUGAUGCAGCGACGCCGCGUGAGGGAUGGAGGCCUUCGGGUUGUGAACCUCUUUCGCCAGUGAAGCAGGCCUGCCUCGUUUGUGGGUGGGUUGACGGUAGCUGGAUAAGAAGCGCCGGCUAACUACGUG
rnacentral:rRNA from 1 species